rnacentral:rRNA from 1 species
GAUGAACGCUGGCGGCGUGCCUAAUACAUGCAAGUCGAGCGAACAGACGAGGAGCUUGCUCCUCUGACGUUAGCGGCGGACGGGUGAGUAACACGUGGAUAACCUACCUAUAAGACUGGGAUAACUUCGGGAAACCGGAGCUAAUACCGGAUAAUAUAUUGAACCGCAUGGUUCAAUAGUGAAAGACGGUUUUGCUGUCACUUAUAGAUGGAUCCGCGCCGCAUUAGCUAGUUGGUAAGGUAACGGCUUACCAAGGCAACGAUGCGUAGCCGACCUGAGAGGGUGAUCGGCCACACUGGAACUGAGACACGGUCCAGACUCCUACGAGAGGCAGCAGUAGGGAAUCUUCCGCAAUGGGCGAAAGCCUGACGGAGCAACGCCGCGUGAGUGAUGAAGGUCUUCGGAUCGUAAAACUCUGUUAUUAGGGAAGAACAAAUGUGUAAGUAAUUAUGCACGUCUUGACGGUACCUAAUCAGAAAGCCACGGCUAACUACGUG